rnacentral:tRNA from 1 species
UCCCUGGUGGUCCAGUGGUUAAGACUCUGCACUCCCAAUGCAGGGGACACAGGUUUGAUCCCUGGCCAGGGAA